rnacentral:rRNA from 1 species
GACGAACGCUGGCGGCGUGCUUAACACAUGCAAGUCGAACGGAAAGGCCCUGCUUGCAGGGUACUCGAGUGGCGAACGGGUGAGUAACACGUGGGUGAUCUGCCCUGCACUUCGGGAUAAGCCUGGUAAACUGGGUCUAAUACCGGAUAGGAGCCAUUUUUAGUGUGAUGGUUGGAAAGUUUUUUCGGUGUAGGAUGAGCUCGCGGCCUAUCAGCUUGUUGGUGGGGUAAUGGCCUACCAAGGCGGCGACGGGUAGCCGGCCUGAGAGGGUGGACGGCCACAUUGGGACUGAGAUACGGCCCAGACUCCGACGGGAGGCAGCAGGGGGGAAUAUUGCACAAUGGGCGCAAGCCUGAUGCAGCGACGCCGCGUGGGGGAGGACGGCCUUCGGGUUGUAAACUCCGUUCGCUAGGGACGAAGCUUUUUGUGACGGUACCUAGAGAAGAAGCACCGGCUAACUACGUG